AGUGAACGCUGGCGGUAGGCCUAACACAUGCCAGUCGAACGGCAGCACAGUAAGAGCUUGCUCUUACGGGUGGCGAGUGGCGGACGGGUGAGGAAUACAUCGGAAUCUACUUUUUCGUGGGGGAUAACGUAGGGAAACUUACGCUAAUACCGCAUACGACCUACGGGUGAAAGCAGGGGAUCUUCGGACCUUGCGCGAUUGAAUUAGCCGAUGUCGGAUUAGCUAGUUGGCGGGGUAAAGGCCCACCCAGGCGACGAUCCGUAGCUGGUCUGAGAGGAUGAUCAGCCACACUGGAACUGAGACACGGUCCAGACUCCUACGGGAGGCAGCAGUGGGGAAUAUUGGACAAUGGGCGCAAGCCUGAUCCAGCCAUACCGCGUGGGUGAAGAAGGCCUUCGGGUUGUAAAGCCCUUUUGUUGGGAAAGAAAAGCAGCAGGUUAAUACCCCGCUGUUCUGACGGUACCCAAAGAAUAAGCACCGGCUAACUUCGUG
rnacentral:rRNA from 1 species